rnacentral:lncRNA from 1 species
AUAGCAGAAACGGCGCCCACACCGAGCCCACUGCGCGGGGGCAGGGUCCGAGGGGAGGCAGGGAGUCCACGUCUCCCGUUUCAGAAUCACGGAAGAAAAUCUUCCCGAUUCAGUUCACGGUCCUGAGGGGCAAAAAUGUCUGUUCUGCGAGGGUCACUCAGUUCCGGUCUGGUGGGGGGCGGGGGAGCACGCUGACAGCCAGUUGCCCCGGCGGGAGCCCUGGACCCUGGCUUUUCAUCACAGCCAGAAUCUGUGCUGGGAUCCAGUUGGCCAUCCUGGCCUCCCCAGUCCUCAGGGUCUGGGGAACAGAAAAAGAGCGCGGGGCGGGGGGCCUGGAGGCGGUGGGGUGGAGUGGAGUACAGAACGGCCUUCGUGUCCCUGGCGUCUCCGGAGGGGCUGGCUCCCAGCUCCAUUCUGAGGAGUUGGAAUCCCACCCAGUCCUGUUGUUGUGAUCUCAAUUCAAGAGGAAGGUGUGAUAUGGCGUCUGUCUGGGUUGGACACCGAGGGACAAUGAGAGAUCAUCCAGGCUUUAACCCAUCUGUGGAUGCUGAGGCGAUUCAUAAGGCAGUCAGAGAAAUCGGAACUGAUGAGAAGACGCACAUCAGCAUUCUGACUGAGAGGUCGAAUGUACAGCGGCAGCUGACUGUUAAGGAAUAUCAAGCAGCAUAUGGAAAGGGGGAAAUGUUGGCAAAGAGGUGACUACCCUGAAAAAGAGCCUAAUGGAAAUUCCAGAAAUAAAAAACCAUGUCUGGACUGCAGCAUGAAUUGGAUGAGCUUAACGCCAGAGGAAAGAAUCUGUGAAACUGAAACAGCAAAAUGUAAAUGACCCAAACCGAAGCACAGUGAGGGAAAAUGCAGUGAGUUUAAGAAUGAGUUUAAGAAAAGACCCCAGAGGAGUUCCUGUGGUGGCAAAGUGGUUAACGAAUCCGACUAGGAACCAUGAGGUUGCGGCUUCGAUCCCUGGCCUCGCUCAGUGGGUUAAGGAUCCGGCGUUGCCAUGAGCUGUGGUGUAGGUUGCAGACAAGUCUCGGAUCCCGUGUUGCUGUGGCUCUGGCAUAGGCCGGCGGCUGCAGCUCCGAUUGGACCCCUAGCCUGGGAACCUCCAUAUGCCACGAGAGUGGCUCAAGAAAUGGCAAAAAGACAAAAAAAAAAAGACACGAGAGGUUUGUGGGACAAUGUCAAUGGGUCCACUGAUUGCAUGACUCAAUUCUCAGAAACUGAGGAACGAGGGAACAAAAUAAUACUUGAAGGGAUGAAUGGUUAGGAAUGUUCCCCAACUGAUGAAAAAUACCCAUCCACAAACCUCAGAAGCUCAUUGAAUCCCAGUGAAGACAGAUACAAAGACAAUCUUGCCCUGGACAGCACAGCAAAACUGCUGAAAAGCCAAAAAUUAUAAACACCAAAGCACAAGAGCAGCUAUAGAAAAAUGGGUUCAGGAGAAAGAAUUCUCAGAAACACAGGAGACCAAAUGGCAAAACCCAGCCUCUUCAGAGGAGGAAAGAAAAAACACGUCUACCCAGAACCUUACGUCCUGCACAAACACCCUUCAAUAAUGAGGCUCAGCCUCUAGAGGAUCACAGAGAAGGAGGCUUGUUGUGAAACUGAGUCAGAAGGAUGCUCUUAUAGCAGACUUUCAAGACAACCCUUAGCCCGGGAUAACAACCAGAGGAUGACUGGCCUGAGAACUUGGUAUUCCAGAAAGCAGAAUUCAGGUACACAAGAGAUCAUGAUUCCCUUGAUUCCUCCUCACCCUUUUCACACUCUCUACCUCUUUCUCCCACUCCCUCUCAGCUUCUCUCUCUCUCUCUCUCUCUCUCUCUCUCUCUCUCUCUCUCUCUCUCUCUCUCCCCCUCUCUCUCUCCCUCUCCCCCUCCCUCCCUCCCUCCCUCUCUCUCUCUCUCGGUGCCCAGGGGCAGAGACAACAAUCCGGCCUAAGCAAUCUGGACUCAAGUUGGUAGGGUCAGUAUUUUGGCGGCCAGGGCUUAAUCUGGUUGUGUCAUUGUUUGAAGACUGUCAUUCUCAAGAAUCACACAAACCCUGACAGGACUGGAAGGUCGGUCUUAGGGAAAAUGCCUGAAGUUAGGAUUUACCCAUGGGGCCCAUAUUUUACCCAGUAAGCCAUGUGCUAGAAACGUUUCAAUUGGGAGGACACGCUAGGUGGAGUACCUAUGUCUCUGUCUUGGGGUAUGGCUCCUGGGUGCUCCACACACCACGAACUCACAUCCAAGGCAGGAAGAGGCAUCCCUUCAGAGAAUGUGGCCAGAGGGAACUGAGUGGCUGGAGGCCCGCAUGAACGGGUGGUCAGGAAGGAAGGGUCUGGAGACCAGGGAGCAUGAGAGGCUGGCUGGUCCACGGAGUUGGCCCUUGAUGGCUCAGGAUGGCCUCCAGUGAAUCACCUGUGAGUGAGGUCUUCUUCUCUGCUCAGGGUGGAGGGGAACAAGUCAAUGGAGGAAGAGAGUUAGCUUUGGGAUGAAAGGCCCAAGGCCAUGCGUGAGGGCCAGGAAGACUGGUGGUCUUUCCCUAGCAAAACGUCUUCUUGGUUUCACGACAGUUUCUACAGGCACCUUUCAGAAACAUCUACAAAAAGAAACACACUAGUGCCUAUGGGCACUCACAGAGACACACGAGGCCAGGUCCACCACACUCACUGCAGUUCGGUCUUGGGUCGUGAGGCAGCAAAGCACGGGUUCAGUGUGGGAGGAAAGAACAUGUAUUUCAAAGAUUUCCAAGACAGGGAUCAGAUCCAUUAGAGUCUCCUGACCUGGUAGUAACAGGGACGUGUCCUCCCUCUGAAGGCUCAGGAAAGGAGAAGUUGCCAGGCAAGAUGGGAUUUUUAUUAUGGCCAUCUGGGUUGAAGAGAUACUGAGAGAGGGCAUAUUGCAGUGGAUCGUUGUGCAUUUUGAAACAGUCCUGUCCCCUUUAGAGACCUGAGGCAAGGAACCUUCAUCAGGCAGCAGCCACAGCAAAGAGGAGGAGAGAUCGAGUGAGCAGGAGACAGAGCAGUGACAGAGAGGGGCAGGGAGGCGGCAACACAGACACAGGCAUCAACAGGUAGAUGGAGAGAAUCAGAGCCAGAGACAGAAAGACCGACAGAGAAUCUGGCAGGAUGGAUGGGAAGGGUGACGAUGAAGAAAAUAAGCGGGGGGAGGAAGAAGGGGAGAAAAACUAUUAGCGAUCUCAUGCGUACAUUGGGAAUGCAAACAUUGUCUCCUCCUCUGUCAUCAUUGGUCUUGAGUUUUGACACCAGGAAGGGGACUAACAAAAGGAACGAUAUCUUCACGGAGGCGGCUUGUAUAUUCUGGAACUGUACCUUCUAUGGGGAGACCCGGCCCUUGGGUUCAUAGCUUGUUCCCCUGGGGGCUGAAUGGACUUGGGUCAUAAGGGAAGUUUGUGAUACUUCCAUCAGGCGUGGUUCGCCCUAGCUCGCUAUGUGCUGCUUCUCCCCGUUUUUGAAAAGAAGGCAUCUUCAUGCCACAUCAGGCUUCGCCUCAAAGGAGAACACAUUUGGAGUGCCUUUCAAGUGAUGCAAACUCCCUGUACCAAACCAGUGCACAGAGUUCAUUGGGCAGCACUUUGGCUCAUUUUCCUAGGUAUAGGACAGGCCUAGAUGGGAAAAAGGCAAGGUUUGGUCUCCGAAGUAAACCCGCACUGGGGCUGGUGUUCACUCACUGAAUAGGAUACACUUUGCAAGGAGAAACGUUGCACAUUCAUCUUUUGUGGAGUUUGUGAGAUUUCCGUCCGGCGUGGAUUGCCCUAGGUCACUGUGUGCUGCUUUUUCCCGCUUGUGAAAAGAAGGCGUUUUCAUGCCACAUCAGGCUUCUCCUCAAAGGAGAACACGUUUGGAGUGCCUUUCAAGCGAUGCAAACUCCCUGCACCAAACCAGUGCACAGAGAGCACCUUGGCUCAUUUGCCGUAUGUAUAGGAGUGGCCUAGGUUGGAAAAAGGCAAGGGUUGCUUUCCCGAGCAAACCCGCACUGGGGCUGGUGUUCGUUCACUGAGACAGGAGCUCCUGAGUGUUACAGCUCUUAAAGUCACCUCUUGACCAGGUCAAAAUGACAACGGUCUUCUACCACCUGGCUUUCUUCAGGAAGUGAUAAAAUAUCCCAACCCAACCAGCUCCUGCCCCAGGCAUCCUGUCAGGCCCUAUUGGCCAGAAUAGGGUAAGAUGCUCUCCACACCCCCAGCCACUCCUAACAAAGAGGAAGGGGAGGACCGGGAUGGAUUUCCUGCAGUCACGAUGCAUUCCCAGGUAGCCCAUUGAUUGCAUCAGGAGACCCGAACAGUUCACAUUUUAUUCAUGAGUAUUACUGUGGUUCCGGGUAGAAGAAAUGGCUGCUGGGAAAAUACCAACAAUGUUUGUAAGGACAGUCACGGACCAAAAGUCCGCAGAGGGUAUGGAUUGUCCUUGGAGCUGAAGAAGUCACGGAAGAUAGGGAGUUCCCAUUGUGGGACAGCAGAAGUGAAUCCGAGCAUCAUCCGUGAGAAUUUGGGUUCGAUCCCUGGCCUCACCAGUGGGUCAGGGAUCCAGUGUUGCUGUGAGCUGUGGAGUAGGUUGCAGAUGCAGCUUGGAUCCUGCAUUGCUGGCCCUGUGGUGUAGGCUGGCUGCUGCAGCUCCUAUUAGAGCUCUGGUCUGGGAAGGUCCAUGUACCACGGCUGUGGCCUAAAAAAACAGUUACAGAAAAUAAAGACAGGGGUGCAGUGGUGCCGGCAGCACAUGGGACUAAAGUCUUCAGUGAUGAGCACAACGACAGAGAAGGGACAAAUGACUGCCCAGGAGGAGUGAUGAGGCUGUGUCUAGGAAGGCCACAACCACCUUACCAGACGGGCGGCCUGCUCCCUCUGUUGCCCUGGACCCUCGGGUGUGAGGACCGAUCCUCUGCUCAGAGUCCAGCCUCCUCUGUCCUCCUUGCUUCAUUCUACCUGCAGCCCACCCAUCUUUCUUUGGAUCUGCCUUUCUUUGAGAAGUUAUCCUCUGUAUUGGCUAUCAGGUGGCAGAACCUGUGGACCCAAAAGGAGCAGUUGCACUGGCAGGGACUAGGUGGACCUCGGGUCGCCAUGGAAAACUCUUGGUGGAGCACAGGCAAGAGUUGGGGCGGGAGGACCUGCACCCCAUAAGAAAUACCCACCAGCUCUCAGAUCCUCGAGGGUUGUAGGAGCACCGAGACAUUCAAGCUGGGAAAUGAAGACUGUGAUAGGGCAGAGCGAGACCCAAGCUUCCCCGGGCAAUGGCAGCGUGAGCUCCUGUCCAACUGCCAAAAGAUGAGAGUUGGCAUCUUACCAGAAGGUUUGGAGGGAUAGGAUGAGAGACGCCUGGCCAUUGGCCGGAAGCGCAUGGCGGGGGAGGGGGUUGCGGAAGCUGCCUCGUGAUUGGCCCGGGCCACGGGGAUGUCACAGGGAGGCAUUGUGACUUGAGGGCAAGGCAGUUAUAAAAGCCCAGUGCUUCCACCGUCUCCCAGACGGAGGAUAUGGCUUUUCAGCUGUUCCUGCUCUUGCUCUUCAAGGCGGUGUCCUCUGCCGCCUUCUCUGCACCUGCACAUGGCAUGCCCCAGGCCCACCUGUCCUGCCCCGGGCCUCUCACCCACACUUGGUGUACCACAUUCCUGUUCGCAUCCAGCUUUGAGCCCCUUUGCGGGCGGAUGAGCCUGCGCACCCGCACCCGGCGCCUCCUCCACCCGCAGCCCUCCUCGGGCCUGGCCCAGCUCCUCAACACUGUGCUCAGGUUCUACAACAGGGGCUUGGACGUCUGGAACCAGAACCAAGCAGACCCCCACGCGGAGGGGAAGCAGCCCUCCCAGCCCUGUUGGCCAAGAGACCUGGACACGUGCCACGCCUCCAACUCCACACUGCACAGAAGGCAGCUGGCCACCCCUCCUCAGACAUCCAUGGACCCCAGAUCCAAGAUCUCCACCUUGGCCCUCCUGCUCCACAAAGGAGAGUCACAGACUCACAGGGCGAGUUCCUGUACCUCCUGCCCACCUCCAUGCAACCUCUCAAAGGGCUCUCCAGCCCAUGUGGGACCACCAGCCUGGGUGAGGCGACUGGUCCAGUUAGGGCCACCAGUCCUGGCAGGGCCAAAAGUCCAGGCAAGGCGACCAGCCCAGGUGGGACCACCAGCCCAGGUGAGGACACCAGCCCAGGAAGGACCAGCAGCCCAGAUGGGACCAGUGGCCCUGGUGAUGCUACCACCACAGGUGGGACCAACAGCCCAUGUGGGGACGUUUCCCCAGGCAGGAGCAACAGCCCAAGUGGGGCCACCAAGCCUUGCGGGACCAAUGGCCCCAAUAGGGACAGCAGCCCAGGUGAUGGGGCCACUAGACCAGGCCACGACUCCAGCUGAUGCCAGGCUACCAGCCCAGGCAGGCCCAGCAUACCAGGUGGGGCCACCACUCCAGGCAAGUCCACCCGCCCAGAUGUGUCCGUCACCCCAGGCGAGGCUACCAACCCAGGUGGGGACACCAGCUCCUCUGGUGCCACCAGCCCAGUCAGGUCCACCAGCCCAGGUGGGGCCAACACCCCAGGCGGGGACACCAGCCCAGGCAGGGACACCAGGAUCGGCGAGGAUACCAGCCCAGGCGGAACCAACAUGCCAGGCCAGGCCAACAGCCCAGACGGGGACACCAGCCAUGACAGAAACCCUGUGGUCACAGCUAGGCUUUGGAAACAUUGAGAGUUUGCUCCUUCUGUUGACUCGCUGUGCUCUGGUGCUGCUCUUUUCCUUCUGGACAUUUAUCUCAUGCAGAGAGAUAAAGGACUACCGUGAGUUCCAACAAGAGCAGCUGGCAGAGCUGGGCAAAGGAUUGAAGAUGAUGGGUAAAGCCCUGGGAGAACUUGAGAAGACACUAAAUGCAGAAAGAGAACAUAAAAAUCAUCUUUCCAAGGAGCUGUCUGAGCUGAAGGCAGAGCUCAGAAUUUCUGAAAAGGAAACAGAGAGAUGGAAAAAGCUGUUUUUUCUAUUGUCCCGGGCACAACACCUUUUGAAGGCCUUCCCGGAAGAUGCAAAGGGGCACUGUGUGCAGGUGGAGCAGGGCCCUUAGAGGCAGGCCCAGGCCUGGGAGCUGGAGAGUUUCUUCCUCCCUGUGCACGCCCCCUAGAGGGGGAGAAGAGGGGUGGGGAGGGAGGGCAAAGCGGAGGCUAGGGUAGGGGUGCUGGGACAGAGACGUGGCCUGAAUUUCAUGAUGUAUGUAUAUUUUGAAUAAAUAAUUGAAUGUUGGAAG